rnacentral:rRNA from 1 species
CCUACGGGGGGCAGCAGUGGGGAAUAUUGGGCAAUGGGCGCAAGCCUGACCCAGCAACGCAGCGUGAAGGAAGAAGGCUCUCGGGUUGUAAACUUCUUUUUUGAGGGACGAAAGAAAUGACGGUACUUCAUGUAUAAGCCACGGCUAACUACGUGCCAGCAGCCGCGGUAAUACGUAGGUGGCAAGCGUUAUCCGGAUUUACUGGGUGUAAAGGGCGUGUAGGCGGGACGGCAAGUGAGAUGUGAAAAUUAUGGGCUCAACCCAUGACCUGCAUUUGAAACUGGAGUUCUUGAGUGAUGGAGAGGCAGGCGGAAUUCCGUGUGUAGCGGUGAAAUGCGUAGAUAUACGGAGGAACACCGGUGGCGAAGGCAGCCUGCUGGAGAUUAACUGACGCUGAGGCGCGAAAGCGUGGGGAGCGAACAGGAUUAGAUACCCUGGUAGUC